rnacentral:SRP_RNA from 1 species
GCCGAGCUUGGUAACGGGAGCUUGUAACCUGAGUGGGGGCAUUAGAGUGAUGGUACACAGGUUCGUUUCGCUGAGUUGGAUCCAUCGUGGUCUGCUUCUGGCUGGCCCAUUCCAAGCCGAGAGUUGAGCCAAAGGAAUUGAGCGAAAGCUCGGGUUCUCGUGGGUCUUAGAGCGGAGAGAACCGCGUGAGGCUGGAUUCACAGAGCAGCGAAUAUCUCCCGCUCUCGGCAGUGGAAGGAUAACAAGUUGGAUCCACAAGGAUCCGUUAUAGCUCCAGUGAGAUCCCUGACUGAACCAUCACUUUU